CUACAGCUCCUGACGUUGAUGCUAUAAUUAAAUACUAUCGAAUUAUUGCGAGAUUGCAGCAUCCUCUCCCAUAACCGCGGUUAUUUUUUUCUCUAACUGAUAACACAUUUACAUUCGUGCUUAUUUAGCUGCAAAUGUCGAAUCAAGAAAUGUGCAAUCAUUUUUGCGAGGAGUCGAGAACAAGAAACUACUAUUAUUUUCGGCGGGAUAAACCCAGCGAGAACGGAGCGGGGAUUUCCAAUUAUGAAUAACAAUGUCGGCAUCCAAAAAAAAAUAGGGGCGUUGCCGUCGUCGGUCCUCUUCGACGCAAAUUUUAUGUAAGUAGAGUAAGCGCUUUAAUUGUAAUAAUAAACUUCAAAUCGCUAUUUCAGCUCUAAAUAAAAACGCCCUACAUUUUGUUUUUGUUGUUUUAUUUCCCUACCCGCCCCUGUUCUGGUUGUAGGUUAGAAUGGGGCCCCCUUGUGUAUGUCUCUCAAAUGGGGGAGCUACCUCCGAGAUGGAAUGAUAGGUUAGAAUUCUCCUCCCUUGCAUCUCUCUCCUGAACCCUCGUAUCUAACCGUUUGAUGUCUCAUCAAUGCCGGGGCGCCGGUUGAAAUUAUACUUUCCUAUACCUAUACGAAUCCUAAUAGAUGGCGACUCCGUUCCGUUAAAAUAGGUUAGAAUGAGGGACCUCGCACUUGACGACUGAAAUUACAAUUUCCUACCUCUAUAUGCAUUACGACGCCAAUAGAUGGCGCCUCCGUACCCUUAAAAUAGGUUCGUUAUAAAUACAACUAUCCAAGCAUUAUAUCAUACAAGUCUAGUUAGCCUAGUGGUUAUGCUAUAGGACUUGUAAUCCGAUGGUUGGCGGUUCGAAUCCGUUCCAUUUAAAAAAAAAUUUCAGGAGGUUCGAUAUAAAUACAACUAUCCAAACAUUAUACCAUAAUAGUCUAAUUAGCUCAGUGGUUAUGCUAUAGGACUUGUAAUCCAAUGGUUGGCGGUUCGAAUCCGUUCCAUUUAAAAAAAAAA